UUUAUUUUUUCUUUUUUCCUCUUUGAGAAGUUUUGUUGGGGUUGCUUAUGACUUAGCUUUCUAGAACCCAUUAAUCGCAAUUGGAAUGGGUUUCAUGUUCAUUUCCAUAUAGUGGCUCUUCCGAGGGCCAUAUCUCAUGUUAAAUGAUGAUCAGUUGUAUAUUUUCUCACAUCCUUGAGUGCUUGGACCAUCCUAUAUUUGGUCCUCCUGUGGUCAUUGUUGCAAGAUCAGCAAUUCCAAAAUGCUAAUUACUGAUCCCUGUUAGUAAUUUGUAAUAACAAAACAUUUCAGAAUCAUCUUAAUACUCACCUUUGCUGAUGACAUUACUUAGGUUUUGUAUGCUGAUGGGGA
rnacentral:misc_RNA from 1 species